AUAUUAUUAAGGGGAGGAAAAGAAACUAACAAGGAUUCCCCUAGUAACGGCGAGUGAAGCGGGAAGAGCUCAAACUUGAAAUCCGCUGGUGUAACAACCUGUGGACUUGUAGCCUAGAGACGCUCUCUCAGCGCUAGACUGGCUAUAAAUUCCCUGGAAUGGGGUAUCAUAGAGGGUGAGAAUCCCGUCUUUGAGCUGGAUCUAAGUGCGUACGAGGGGCGUUCCAAGAGUCGCGUUGCUUGGGAGUGCAGCGCAAAUUGGGUGGUAAAGUUCAUCUAAAGCUAAAUACUGGCGAGAGACCGAUAGCGCACAAGUA
rnacentral:rRNA from 1 species